AAUUCACCUGAGGCGAUAAUACACAUUGUGUAUAGUUUUUUGAGUGCUUUGGAGUCUACCCCUGGAGGAAGAAGCAGCUGCUUUUACCUGCUAUCUAGUUUUAAAAAACGGUUUGGCCAUCUUCUAAAGAGUUUGAACCAACUGAAGAACUAUCUUGACUAUCUUGAUGGGGGAGUUGUAGAAAUCCUUCACUGGAGUCUGAGCGGGAUUUUGGAAGCGUUACCGUCUACAGAAUCCACAGUACUCCGAAGCUCUUCUACAGUUUUUGUUAAACUCUGGUUUUCCAUCUCCAGCUU